rnacentral:rRNA from 1 species
GCCCUUACUUGCCAUCAUUAACUUGGGCACUUUAAGGAGACUGCCGGUGACAAACCGGAGGAAGGUGGGGAUGACGUCAAGUCAUCAUGCCCCUUACAUCCUGGGCUACACACGUACUACAAUGCAACGGACAAAGGGCAGCCAACUAGCGAUAGUGCGCAAAUCCCAUAAACCGUUGCUCAGUUCAGAUUGCAGGCUGCAACUCGCCUGCAUGAAGGCGGAAUCGCUAGUAAUCGCAGGUCAGCAUACUGCGGUGAAUACGUUCCCGGGCCUUGCACACACCGCCCGU